GAAGUACUAAAUAGCGUUUGCUCACAGUACGCGCUAGUCAGUUGUUAGUUGGCAGCUGUGGAAUACAGACAUCGAACGGCAGUUACUUACUGCUUGCAUGGCUACUGCCAACGAAACGGCGACUCAAAAAACAAACAGGAAGAGGUUACAGCAAAUGUUUAGAUCUGGAGACAAAGAUAUGAGCAUCCAAAUUUCGUUUUCAUACCAGCAGAAACAAAGGAAAUGAAAAUAUCAAGUAUAUCGCGUGCUUACGUAAGCAAUUAGUGGCGCUUUUGUUGUGGUAUUCGGUUGGCAAAGCGCACUUAUUAUACGCCCUAUCUGCUGGAUAGACAAUUUGUGUGUAUACUGAACGGCGCUUGCAACAACAAAGUUGUGCUUAAGAUUAUUUUUAUCUCAACGUUUUCUUGGCACAUGAAAAAUAGGCGUAACAAUGGUACUAUAGGUAGAUGAUUAUCGGGACAAACCUUACUACGUAUGCAGUUGGAAGAGCGGAAUUAGUAAUCGCAACAACAAAUGUUCACUAUAACACUACAAGCAAACUAUUUGCAAAAUAUACAAAUUAUGUACCUAUAAAACCAAUUAUUCACACCAAGCGUACACCUAUGUGUAUAGAUUUACUUUAGAACAAAGUCAACAGAGUCGUAUUUGUGGUGUUUAAUACUGAUACGCUAAUUGGUGGAUAGUACUAUACCCAUAUACAUAAUUAUAUUUUCGCGAUAGUUAAAAUUUGUUGAAAAUGUCUACAAACUACGUUCCGAGAAUGUAGGAAUUAAGUCAGAUUAGAAUAUAAACAAUCACUGCACAUCAGACGAAUAUUGUUGCCAGAUCAGACAAAAUGUUUUUUGGCAUUUAUAUUGACAUUUGAUCGCUUAAUAUAUUGUGUAACAAUUAUUAUCAUUUUCACUUGUCAAUUUAUACCACGAAGCUUCAGAUCAUAGAACAUUUCAUGAAAUACACUUAAAUUCAGCGUUUCCUAUUUUA